AAUGAUAAUGAUCUUCCUCUUUGCACUUCGAAUAAGAAGAAACUGAAGAGUAUUCGAGGACUGUUCGGUGGCUUACUUUCGAGCUAAGAAACCCGAGAGAAACGAAGAGAAAAGAACAAGGAAGAAAAGGCACAAAGGAUUUUUAAUUGAAAUUCUCUGCGGAGAAGAGGCAUCCUUUGGCUGUUCUUCCCAACGAAGCGGGCGCCAAAUGUAACAAAAAAGGAAGAGUCAAGCACCGAUUCGUCCUCAAGUCAUUCGACAAAGAAGAAGAAUUCGACGGUUCUGAGAACUAAUUUUCCGCACAAUUUCAGACAAGAGGGAGGAGUUCUCCAACAAAAAAGGUAUAUAUUAUUUUGAGGAGAUGGGAGCAGCGCGUGACUUCUUCAAUGACUCGUGAAUGACCAGCGUCGUUUCCGAUUCCCCCGUAUACAGGUCUUUUUAAAUCGUCGAAUCCUAGCGCUAACAUAUAUAUUGAACUACGUAUAUACGAUGGACCAUGUUUGUCAUACUGAAACGUUUCUAAAAAAAAAAAGCAAAAAAAAUAAUAGAGAGAGAGAGAGAGAGAGAGAGAGAGAGAGUAGAAAGACGAAAGAAAAAGAAGAGAAGAACAAUUCGAAUUCCUCGAGCCCCGUCGUUCGCCACGAAGACGUAGACGUAGAAACGACGAACUUCACAACACUCCCGUUGCAUGCUCAACGACUCCAAAGCAGCAAAAGAAGAAAGCAAGAGCAAGAAGAAAACGAAACGGAGCAGCCACACCGCGGAUAGUUAAAAGUAGCUGGCCCAAUAGUCGAGUUCGAUCUGUUUCAGAAGGAAAAACAAAAAAAAAAAAAAAAAAAAAAACUGAAGCGAGACAGUUGUACGCGUCGAAAGAUGAGUAGGUCAGGGCGACGAGUUUCAAUUGGAGAGAACGAAGAAGAGAAGAGAAAGAUAGAAGAAAGGGAAACGAGCAGGAAGAACCAGAUGUAACACGCGUUCUUCUGUCGUUUCCUCAGCUGCCCCCCCACAUCUCGGGGGAUUUCUUCAGGUAACGUUUCUCUUCUCGAUCGAAAGAGAAGGAGGAAGAAGAUACCACGAUGCGUAGAAGUAAGGUUAGGAGAGAUCAGCGAAGCCUGUAAAUAAGUAAAGUCUCGUUCGUCACGUGUUUUGGACUUGGUCUUUUGGUCACGGUUGCGCGCGACACAAUUCUAUUCGGAUAAAAAAAAAAAAAAGAAAUGGAAGGAUAAAGUAUAUAGUAUAUAUAUAUAUAUAAACACGUAUACAGAAAACAUACGCGUACCAGGGUCGAAGCUGGCUGUCCUGGGGCCAGGUUAUAUAUUCUCUCUGAUCCAUGGUGUACAGUUUUGAAGGCCGUUGAGAGGCGCGAGGGCCCCGGAACUGAGGUACGCGACCGUGCAUAAUUGUAGCUUAUCUCUCCAGAAGAGUAUAUAGGCUUCUUGUGUAAUUAUGUGAAAUUGUACGUAGACGGUACACUUAUCUCCAGGGAAUAGCCGCGGACACAUAUCUCAAAUCAGAGUUCAUUCUAUCCGACGCGAAGGGGGAGAAUUAGACGGGUAUGGAUUCAGAAAUGUUGGCCAGUAGGGUGUGGGCCCUCCUUCGUUGGGUGGAAGCCGACUUUUUCUUAGCAAUCAUCAGUGCACUGUGGAUUUUCCUGCCAUUUUAGUCAAAUGUGGAAAAUUUUAAUACGUAACGUACGCGAAAAUAUAGUACAAGUACAAUUUUUAAUUGUACUCGUAAAAAUGUGAACUUGGACACAGAUAUCUGCAGUCCAGAUUUCUUCUUUUCGUUUCCUCCCGGUGAGGAAUGAUUUCUUUGUCUAGUUGGUAGACUUGAGAACAAGAUUCGAAUCGUUGUUUUUACAAAAUAAUGAUAACAAGUAGACCGAUCUGGGAGGAUUUUAAUGCACACGUAAAAGGUGCAAAAAAAGUUCAUGAAAAUACAGGAAAAUCCAAACUAUAGAGUAUUUGAGUUUGUUGUUUCAGUUUAUAAAAAUUUUAGAACGCACGAGCAUCUGCGGGUCUGACAGUGACAAAGUUAGAGUCAGAGUGAGAGGGCCCACAGAGUUUGGAAAGUUUGAUUUUAAAAGGGAUCCAUCGAUCAACGACGCUUGAUCGUUUCCAUCCUUCCAUCGAGCAGGGGCAUAAUUAGAUCGUAGGUUUUACCCUAAAGCUUUCAUCGUCCUACAUAUCAUAGAGAAAGAAGAGAUCCUUUUGUUUCUGUGGUAGAAAGAUGGGCCUACGAGAACAAAAAGAAAAAGAAGAAGAGAAAAAUUCAUAAGGUUCACUGGUGUACUUAGACAGAGGAGGAGCGAGUGUGUGUGUGUGUGAGAGAGAGAGAGAGAGAGAGCGAAUGAGUGAAAAGAAAAAGAGUAUUGUCCAAUUUGAGACUCGAAACAAAUGAAGAGAAGAAAUAAGAGGGCCUCUAAAUAAUUGAUAGGGAACGAGCCGCGUUUCGAGACAAAUGAGAAACAUGCUUUUUAGGAUUAGUACGCAGCUUCGACCUAGCCUCUCCCCCCCCCAUCCUAUAAAAAAAAAAAAUGUAUUUAGAUAACACUAACGUGCACCCUGAAAUUCUUCCAUUUUCCUUAAUUAUCGCGAGACCUUCUCGUUUAAAUCUCAAAAGUUUUACGACGUAACGCAGGGUUUUGUUUCAUUAUUAUAUUUGACAAAGUCAGUUGAGGAACUCGUGAUACAAUUUGUGAUCCUCGGUCUGGGGACUUUUGUGCAAACAACAAGCGAAAACGUACGAAAUAUCUAAUCUUCGUCGUCAGCAAGAGAGCAAUAUUAUUUAAUAUUAAUGAAGAUGAACAGCCAUUUAAUAUUUAUCGAAGUAUUGUUCAAUUUGUCAAUCAAAAAUCCCCGGCCCGACUGUAUCAUCUAUAUCUUUCUCAAUUUUCAUUUUAAUCGUAGUUCAGUCGUCGGCUCAGAGUUCUCGACAAUAAUAAAGGGAAAUGAUCUGAUGCAGCUCAUCGAAUCAUUCGGUUCUUCGAACAUAUCCAUCUUCUGACCUCGUAUUUUCAUAAAUCAAGAUACAUAUUCCGUCAUCAAGGCCCAUCGACGAAUUAUUUUCAUAGUCAGAGCGAUUCUUCUACCCACGUCUUACAGUAUUAUCAGACUCGGUCCGAUUCUUUCCUCAUUUUCUCGCGAUUCCCCCGCCGGAGCCACUGACACUUUUUAUUCACAAAAGGGAUUUUUUAGGCGCGAACGAGCGACAAUUAACCGACCCUUUCGCACGAGGGUGAAGGUUUCUUUUCUUCUGGUAUCGUUUAUCGAAACAGCUCCUAUUGCUUUCAGAUUGUUUGACAAUAAUCACGACUGAUAAGAAUAACCUAGAACGAUAAUUAUCAAG